rnacentral:rRNA from 1 species
UGGGGAAUUUUGGACAAUGGGCGAAAGCCUGAUCCAGCAAUGCCGCGUGUGUGAAGAAGGCCUUCGGGUUGUAAAGCACUUUUGUCCGGAAAGAAAUCCUUGGCUCUAAUACAGUCGGGGGAUGACGGUACCGGAAGAAUAAGCACCGGCUAACUACGUGCCAGCAGCCGCGGUAAUACGUAGGGUGCAAGCGUUAAUCGGAAUUACUGGGCGUAAAGCGUGCGCAGGCGGUUUGCUAAGACCGAUGUGAAAUCCCCGGGCUCAACCUGGGAACUGCAUUGGUGACUGGCAGGCUAGAGUAUGGCAGAGGGGGGUAGAAUUCCACGUGUAGCAGUGAAAUGCGUAGAGAUGUGGAGGAAUACCGAUGGCGAAGGCAGCCCCCUGGGCCAAUACUGACGCUCAUGCACGAAAGCGUGGGGAGCAAACAGGAUUAGAUACCCUGGUAGUCCACGCCCUAAAACGAUGUCAACUAGUUGUUGGGGAUUCAUUUCCUUAGUAACGUAGCUAACGCGUGAAGUUGACCGCCUGGGGAGUACGGUCGCAAGAUUAAAACUCAAAGGAAUUGACGGGGUCAUAGCUGUUU